CUAUCCCUAACUCUCAAUUUCAUCUCGAUCUCUCUCUCUAACCUCACUGCCACACACGCCGGCAGACACGGCGUAAGCCGCGCCGCCGCGUCGCCCUCCCUCUCGCUGGCUGCACAGGCCCACGGCCGUUGAGGAGCCGCCGUCGCCGGAGACAGCCCAGAUCGGAAGCCACCGCGGCUCCGUCGCCGUCCGUCAACCGCCGGCGACGACGAGCCACCGAGGCUGCCCUCCCCCUGACCUCGACUCACACACGCAAUCAGCCAACACAAAGGGUCUUUGUGCAAGAAUCAUAUACUGUAAUUGCUCAAAUAAAAGUUUUAACUCUUUCCUUGUAACUUCAGUUCACAAGUACAUAUUUAGUAACUGUAAAUCUAUGAAUUUGCUACUCA